UACGAAGGGGGCUAGCGUUGCUCGGAAUCACUGGGCGUAAAGCGCACGUAGGCGGACUCUUAAGUCGGUGGUGAAAUCCUGGAGCUCAACUCCAGAACUGCCUUCGAUACUGGGAGUCUCGAGUUCGGGAGAGGUGAGUGGAACUGCGAGUGUAGAGGUGAAAUUCGUAGAUAUUCGCAAGAACACCAGUGGCGAAGGCGGCUCACUGGCCCGAUACUGACGCUGAGGUGCGAAAGCGUGGGGAGCAAACAGGAUUAGAUACCCGGUAGUCC
rnacentral:rRNA from 1 species